rnacentral:rRNA from 1 species
GUGCAGCAGGCGAGAAUACUUUACAAUGUGCGAAAGCACGAUAAGGGAACUCUGAGUGCCUCCUAAGGAGGCUGUUCAGGUGUCUAAAAAGCACCUGGAGUAAGGGCUGGGUAAGACCGGUGCCAGCCGCCGCGGUAACACCGGCAGCCCAGGUGGUAGCCACUUUUAUUGGGUCUAAGGCGUCCGUAGCCGGUUGAGUAAGUUCCUUGGGAAAUUUGGCUGCUCAACAGUCAAGCUUCCAGGGAAUACUGCUCGACUUGGGACUGGGAGAGGUCAGAGGUACUCCAGGGGUAGGAGUGAAAUCCAUUAAUCCCUGGGGGACCACCGGUAGCGAAGGCGUCUGACCAGACCAGGUCCGACGGUGAGGGACGAAGGCUAGGGUCGCGAACCGGAUUAGAUACCCCCGUAGU